rnacentral:tRNA from 1 species
UGUUAGCAUAGUUUAACAAAAACAUUAGGAUGUGGCCCUAAAAACAGGAGUUCAACCCUCCUUGCAGACC